GCAAUGAUGAAAAGUUGGUUUUGACAAGCGAUGAAACUAUUCACCAAUUCCUCUAAGAAGUUCUGAGCUC
ensembl:snoRNA small nucleolar RNA SNORD61